rnacentral:rRNA from 1 species
AGAAUCAACGCUGGCGGCGUGCCUAACACAUGCAAGUCGCACGAGAAAGGGUAGCAAUACCUGAGUACAGUGGCGCACGGGUGAGUAACACGUGAAUCAUCUACCUCCGAGUGGGGGAAUAACUGAGAGAAAUCUUAGCUAAUACCGCAUAAUACCCACGGGUCAAAGCAGCAAUGCGCUUGGAGAGGAGUUCGCGGCAGAUUAGUUAGUUGGCGGGGUAAUGGCCCACCAAGACGAUGAUCUGUAUCCGGCCUGAGAGGGCGCACGGACACACUGGAACUGAAACACGGUCCAGACUCCUACGGGAGGCAGCAGUGGGGAAUUUUGCGCAAUGGGGGAAACCCUGACGCAGCAACGCCGCGUGGAGGAUGAAGCCCCUUGGGGUGUAAACUCCUUUCGAUCGGGAAGAUAAUGACGGUACCGAUAUAAGAAGCCCCGGCUAACUUCGCGCCAGCAGCCGC